GGCGGAGGGCUUUGCGCCCUCUGAGGAAAGUCCGGGCUUCACAAGGGAACGGUAACUGCUAACGGCAGCCGGGGGUGACCCCAGGGAUAGUGCAACAGAGAUGAGACUGCCCGUCUUUCGGGACGAGCGAUGGUGGAAAGGUGCGGUAAGAGCGCACCGGCGCGCUUGGUGACUUGCGCGGCCGUGUAAACCCUACCGGAAGCAACGCCCAUAUGAGAACACAUGCGUGCCCUUGCGCGUUCUCGGAGGCGGCUGGAGCUGUGCGGCAACGUACAGUCGAGAUAGAUCGUCGUUUAAUACAGAACCCGGCUUACGGUUUG
rnacentral:RNase_P_RNA from 1 species